rnacentral:rRNA from 1 species
GGAGGAAAAGAAACUAACAAGGAUUCCCCUAGUAACGGCGAGUGAAGCGGGAUGAGCUCAAGCUUAAAAUCUCCGUACAAGUUUUGUACGGCGAAUUGUAGUCUAUAGAGGCGUGGUCAGUGUGAGCUCUUGGGGCAAGUUCCUUGGAAAAGGACAGCAUGGAGGGUGAUACUCCCGUUCAUCUCCGAGUGGCUCGUGCGUACGACCCGUUUUCUUUGAGUCGCGUUGUUUGAGAAUGCAGCGCAAAGUAGGUGGUAAAUUCCAUCUAAAGCUAAAUAUUGGUGCGAGACCGAUAGCAUACAAGUACCGUGAGGGAAAGAUGAAAAGAACUUUGAAAAGAGAGUUAAAGAGUACCUGAAACUGCUGAAAGGGAACCGAAUCGUUUCCAGUGUCUAUAAUCUGUGGCAUAUUUCAUUGGCGAGUGUGUGCGUGCGUGUGCUGUGGCAGCGGCCUUUUGGCUGCGCUUGGCGCGUGUGGUGUGUGUGCUUGCUGGUGCCCUGUGCUGCGGUGGGACGUCAAUGUCAGUUCGUAUGCUGCGGGAAAUGGCUGCUGAGGAGGUAGGGCUUACGCUUGCGUUUGUCUGUUAUAUCUUGGUGGACGAGUCGUCGUGGUUGGGACUGAGGUGCCUACAACGUGCUUUUGAGUGGGUUUGUGUCUCCGUGUGUGCCGUGUGCGGAUAGCUUGCUAUGCGUGUGUGGUUAUGUGUGGAUUGAUAUGGGCUUUAACUUGUUGCCGUUCGGGACGUUGACGAAAUGGAGCGAUCCGACCCGUCUUGAAACACGGACCAAGGAGUCUAACAUGUGUGCAAGUGUUAGGGUGUGGAAACCCCAGCGCGAAAUGAAAGUAAAGGGCAGCGCAAGCUGUCUGAGGUAGGAAACGUUGCGGGCUUCGGUCUGCGGCGUGGCACUAUCGACCGAUCAUGAACCUUCGUGGUGAAAGAUUUGAGUUUGAGCACAUAUGUUGGUACCCGAAAGAUGGUGAACUAUGCCUGAGUAGGGUGAAGCCAGGGGAAACUCUGGUGGAAGCUCGUAGCGAUUCUGACGUGCAAAUCGAUCGUCAAACUUGGGUAUAGGGGCGAAAGACUAAUCGAACCAUCUAGUAGCUGGUUCCCUCCGAAAUUUCCCUCAGGAUAGCAGCAACUUAUUUACGAUAGUUUUAUGAGGUAAAGCGAAUGAUUAGAGGAUUCGGGGAAGAAACUUCCUCGACCUAUUCUCAAACUUUAAAUCUGUAAGACCUGCAGGUUUCUUAAUUGAACUUGUGGAUG